ACGCUGGCGGCGUGCCUAAUACAUGCAAGUAGAACGCUGAAGCUUGGUGCUUGCACCGAGCGGAUGAGUUGCGAACGGGUGAGUAACGCGUAGGUAACCUGCCUCUUAGCGGGGGAUAACUAUUGGAAACGAUAGCUAAUACCGCAUAAAAGUCGACAUCGCAUGAUGUUGACUUGAAAGGUGCAAUUGCAUCACUAAGAGAUGGACCUGCGUUGUAUUAGCUAGUUGGUGAGGUAACGGCUCACCAAGGCGACGAUACAUAGCCGACCUGAGAGGGUGAUCGGCCACACUGGGACUGAGACACGGCCCAGACUCCUACGGGAGGCAGCAGUAGGGAAUCUUCGGCAAUGGGGGCAACCCUGACCGAGCAACGCCGCGUGAGUGAAGAAGGUUUUCGGAUCGUAAAGCUCUGUUGUAAGAGAAGAACGAGUGUGAGAGUGGAAAGUUCACACUGUGACGGUAACUUACCAGAAAGGGACGGCUAACUACGUGCCAGCAGCCGCGGUAAUACGUAGGUCCCGAGCGUUAUCCGGAUUUAUUGGGCGUAAAGCGAGCGCAGGCGGUUAGAUAAGUCUGAAGUUAAAGGCUGUGGCUUAACCAUAGUACGCUUUGGAAACUGUUUAACUUGAGUGCAGAAGGGGAGAGUGGAAUUCCAUGUGUAGCGGUGAAAUGCGUAGAUAUAUGGAGGAACACCGGUGGCGAAAGCGGCUCUCUGGUCUGUAACUGACGCUGAGGCUCGAAAGCGUGGGGAGCAAACAGGAUUAGAUACCCUGGUAGUCCACGCCGUAAACGAUGAGUGCUAGGUGUUGGGUCCUUUCCGGGACUCAGUGCCGCAGCUAACGCAUUAAGCACUCCGCCUGGGGAGUACGACCGCAAGGUUGAAACUCAAAGGAAUUGACGGGGGCCCGCACAAGCGG
rnacentral:rRNA from 1 species